AUGAUUUAAAGAACAUAAAAGACGUAUUUGGUCUUCGGAAACAAGUCGGCCAGUUCCCUUUGCCGACGUCACUGCGCAUAAGACCGCCCCUUCUCUUCGGAGAAGAAGCAUCGCCAUUUUAAGUGAAUGAGUUUCAUUUCACACACCGCAACUGUAGGACGGAGAACCUCAGGAACGUUUUCAACCUAUUUCUCUUUUAAACUGUUAGUGGGGAAUUGACUACUAUGAACUGAAUCUUUUCCUUAAGCCAAUCAACAAGUAGCUCAAAGUCAAGUAACGCAAAAGACAGUUGAUUUUUUGCACUGAAUGUAGUACGUUAGAGGAAAUGGCUGUGGAAAGCAUGACUGUCCAUCCAAACUCCCCAACAGCCAACCACGAACACAACAGUCUUCUCACUGACGAAAGAAAGGAAGAAGGAGAACUGGAAGAGGGCGAGUUGGAGGAUGACGGUGGAGAGGCAGAGGCAGAGGUGCCCAGCGGUGAGGGAGCUGAACCCCAAGAAAAGCCCCGUCGCAGCAAGGAGCACCAUGUCAGUGAAUCGGAUGAAGAAAAGUCACAUCGCCGCAGGAAGAAGAGAAAGAGGGAGAGAGAGAGGGAAAAAGAGAAAAGAAGAGCAAAGAAAAAGCGCAAAUCAAAGCACAAGCGCCAUGCAUCCUCAAGUGAUGACCACUCAGACUACAGUGAUGAAUCAGAUUACAGUCCCAGCGAAAAGAGAAAAUACAGGGAAUACAGCCCUCAGUAUCCUCCCUCUUCUCAGGGGGGUUAUCCACCUGCUUCUGGUCAUGGAGGUCCCAUGCCAAAGAAAGGCUCCUUUAUGAAGAUGGACAAACAGGGCUAUGGGGGCUAUGAUGACUAUGAAGAGGAAAACUACGAAGGUCAAGAGGAUGAGGAGAUGGCUGAUGGGGACUUUGAUGACUUUGCUAAGGAACUGAACCAGUACCGCAAGGCCAAAGAAGUUGGCGGUGGUCCACGUGGCAGAGGUAGUAAAAACCGGAUGAAGAACCAGAGAGGAGGGAUGAGAGGCCGUGGAGGGAUGAGAGGCCGUGGUGGAAGAGGAGGAGGCGGCAGAGGAAGAGGACGGGGCAAAAUGGGAGGAGACAAUGACGACGGAGAUGGAAUGUAUGAAGAGGCUGAGUAUGGAGUUGAUGACUAUGAUAACAUGGAAGAAGAAGAUUAUGAAGAAUACUCAAAAGAAUUUAACCAGUACAGGAAGUCAAAAGACAGAGGCCGUGGUGGAAAAGGUGGACGAGGUCGUGGGCGAGGCAAGGGAGGUCGAGGCAUGAAUCGAGGUAGAGGGAGAAAUCGAGGUAGGGGACGAGGAGGAGAUCAGGGUCCGGAUGAAGAAAACAGUGGCGAAAUGGACACAGGGGAUGGAGCUGGAGGCCCAAGGAGAAAUGAGCAGGAGAAACAUGGGCCGGAAAAGAAGGGGAAAGCCAUCUGCAAAUACUACAUAGAGGGACGCUGUACAUGGGGUGACCACUGUAACUUCAGUCAUGACAUUGAGCUGCCUAAGAAGAAAGAACUUUGCAAAUUCUACAUCACUGGCUUUUGUGCACGGGCGGAAAACUGUCCUUACAUGCAUGGUGAUUUCCCUUGCAAGCUAUUCCAUACCACAGGCAACUGUGUGAAUGGUGAGGAGUGUAUGUUCUCCCAUGAUAUCCUAACAGAAGAUACUCAAGAGUUGCUGGAUAAGAUGUUGGCGGAGGAUGCAGAAGCAGGUGCAGAGGAUGAGAAAGAGGUGGAGGAACUGAAAAAGCAAGGAAUAAACCCUCUUCCAAAACCUCCUCCCGGUGUUGGUCUUCUCCCAACUCCCCCAAGACCCUCUCCAGGAGAUUCCUCCACACCUAUAGACUUUGGAAUGGCUGCCCCGCCACGUAAUAAUAAUAUGCCCCCUAGUGGUCCACCGGCUCCAGGCCCUGGUCCUGGACCCUGCCCUGGUCCUCCUCCUCCCUGCCCUGAUGGAGGCAAUUUCCAGGGCCCACCAAACCCCAACGGACCUCCUCCACCUAUGGGUCCACCACCUCCUUGUGGAGGAAAUGCUGGAAAGAAGAUCCCCUCUUUGUUUGAGAUUGUGGUAAAGCCAACAGGACAACUGGCGCAAAAGCUGGGAGUCAGAGGACCAGGUCCUGGUGCUGCUCCUACAGGACCUCAGGGUCCUCCUGUGGGUCCCCCGGGUAUGCCUCCACCUCGCUUUCCUGGUGCACCACCACCAGGACACAUGGGUCCAGGUGGUCCUCAUGAGAUGCCUCCAAUGGGUCCAUCUAACAUGAACCAAGGCCCUCCAUUAGGACCGCCAAUGAUGCAGAACUUUGGCCAGGUAGACGGACCGCCAAACCAGGGAAUGAUGCCUCCAGGUGGUGGAUCCGGUGCCAACUUCUAUGAUAAUUUUUAUCAGCAGCAGCAAGUCAUGACAAUGGAUGGAAGUGAAGGAGAUGGUGACAACUUUCAAGGACCAAGCAGUGGAAUUUUCAAUGAUCAGCCAUCUGGGAACCAGAACUCUGGCGGCAUAGAGGGCCCAGCUAAUGUUGGCCCCUCUAACCAGUCUGGAAUGGCAGUGCCAGAUUUUCUGCCUCCAGCACAGCGUGUGCUGUUUAUGAGACUCCAGCAUAAACAGCAAGAGGAUGAGGAGAGAGCCAGGAGGCUGACUGAAGGUGGAGGAGCAGAGAGAGAGAAUGAAGGUGAUUCAGCAAACUGGUAUUCCAGCGAAGAUGAGGAUGGUGGGGGCAGUGUCACAUCCAUUCUCAAAACCUUGCGCCAGCAAACCCAGACCCAAGGCCCCCCCAAACCUGACGCAGCUCCUAGCGAUCCUCGUCUGCAGAAAUCUCAGCCUGCACCGACUCCCAGCCGACCGGCAGAUCCCCGGCUGGCACGAGACCCACGUUUAUCCAGGACUGCAGACUCUUCUCAGGCUCCUGAUGCCAGUGCUUCAUCUUCUCUAUCCCCCACCCCUUCAGAUCCCCGUCGUGCUCGGCAUGCACCCACAAACCCACCUAAACCAGAGAAUCCUCUAGUCUACAAACCCCCUCCCCUGACCACCCCAGCUAGCAAUGAGGAAGAGGAGGGUGAGAGAAUGCUAAGGGAAAAGCCUGUGCCUAUCCCACUCGAUCCUUUAAUGGGCAUGGCACUGCGUGAUCCCCGCUCACAACUACAGCAGUUCAGCCAUAUCAAAAAAGAUGUAGUCCUGAUCAAGCCUUCAUUUUCCAAGGCGGUGCUGUGGAGUCCCGAAGACCUUAUCCCUAUCCCUAUUCCCAAACAGGACUUACUCCCACUUCCCCCUGGCAUUCCUCCAGUUACUGCCAUGGAUCCUCGAUUGUCCCGCACCCCACCCCAGCACCAUUCAGCCCCGCCCCCUUCGAUCCCACCUCCUCCUGUUGCUUCCGAGCAGUCUAAUCAGCCCUCCUCAUCCCUCCCAGACUUUGAGCUACUCUCGCGCAUCCUCAAAACUGUUAACGCCACGUCAUCCAGCCCUGCUCAAGCAGCCCCUGCAGGAAUCUCAUCGCCUCCGUCCGCUUCUGCUGAGAAGCUUGUUGACCCGCGCAAGGCACGAAAAGUCCCCGCCGACCCCCGACUCCAGCCACAAAAAUCUGCCCUUAAAUCCACCUCAGAACCACCAGCCCCCCAAGUCUCUCCACCGGCAGACUCCUUAUCCCCAUCCUCCUCCUCACCAACCAUUGCACCAUACGAUCCAAGGCUACUAUCGGCAGGAGGAUCGGUUCGAAGUGCUGCUGGUGGUGGUGGAGGUAGUGGCAGCAGCAGCGUGCUGAGUGGCAUUAGUCUGUAUGACCCACGGACUCAGGGGACAGACAAGGCCGAUGGCUCGGAGGCCGCUAGUCCUCCCCCUGAGCCCAAGUCGAGCGAAAGUCAGACAACUAAACCCAAGGCAAAAGAGCCGCUUUUUGUGCGCAAGUCUGCGCUGGACCAGCCGGAACCCGAGAAGAGCACUACAGAGCAGACUACAGAUCGAUACAACAGCUACAACCGCCCACGACCCAAACCUUCUCCCUCGCCCAAUGCAGGAGCUGCAGGUGGGCCUCCUGCAACAGGCGGAACAUCCGCAACUGGUCAGGGUCCUGCUGGGGCUACAGAACAGCCAACAGGGGUCCACAACCUUCCUGUAUCCACACUGUUCACCAUGGUAAAGCAGGUUGGCAAACCCAGCGGCACCGGCAGCCCGUUCGGUGGCAAUAGCCCCGCCCAGCCCGAUGUGGCCGAACAGGACAAUGCCUCUUUAAAAGACGUUUUCAAAGGCUUUGACCCCACAGCAUCACCAUUUUGCCAGUAACCCUUACUACUACACAGUCAUCGUGAACCGCUAAGGACUUUAGCAUGGGGUUUUCUGAAAUAACCAGCCCUUGCCAGGUCACAAACCACACCCCACAGUAUUUACAUAAAGAUUUCUAUUGGACAGUUGGGUUUGGGAGGGGUACUGACUGAACUAGGGAUAAUGGGAAAUGAAAGCUAAAUGUCUAUUUUAAAACCAAAUGGGAAAUGUUUAAAUAAAAUGUUCAUUUUAAGGACCUAUAUGGGCGUAUACAUCAAGAUAUACUGAAGUAAUUUUGGUUUUACAUUUUCAUCAACCUAUACCAAACAGGUUUAUUGGAUUAUGACUCAUCCAUCCCCUCCCAUCAUUCUGCUUCAGUUCAAUCAUAAGCAUGGCUUAUGUGAUGACUGAAAAAUUUAUUGCUCGACCUGAUCAGCAUUGUGACGGGGAGAAUUCAUUCACUGCCACUCCGUCCGUCACUUGCAGUCGAGCUAAACUAAUUCACCGGCACUCUUCAUUUGCUGUCCACUAGUGGUUAAAGAUCCUUUUAAGAAAUUUUAGCUUUGUUCUCUCUCUCUGCUUAGAUUAGCCGACUCGUUUUUCAUGUCUGUAUGGAUGCCCUAAUAUUCCUAAUGCUUCAGAUUGGCGUUUAGUCUGUUGAUGGCACUCCAGGUUUGUUCAUCAAAUUGUUUGUUUGAGACUCUUCAAUGUGUUUGUGUAACAUGAGAUCAUUUUAAUUUAUUUUUUAUACUGAAGCAGUCUUCUCUUUCUUUGUAAUGUUCAAAUUCAACCGUUUUAUGAAUGUGUGUAUAUAUCUAUAAAAAAUAUAAAUAUAUAUACAUAUGUGUAUAGUACAUAUUCUUCCCAUCUGGUUUGUGAAUUAAAUUGUGCAACAGCUGAUGUUGGAAAAAUGAUGUCAUUUUUUGUUCACAUAGGGGGAUUAGAGCUCGCAGUUUCCCUGAAAUCUGUGUGUCAAUGACUGCUCAGAAGUUUCAGCUUUUGUUGUUUUGUAUUGCCUCUCUGCAAAAUGAUGGCUUUGUAUAUUGAAAGUGUCCAUAUUCGACUUAAGAUUCCCAUAUGGUCACAACUACAACCUUCUCUUCAGUCCCUCCACCCUACUUCCUGCCCUUUUUAAGGAAUUCUAUCCAGUGCUCUGGGAAGACCAUCGUGAGCCAGCGCUAGAGCAGGAACAGCAUGUAUGCUCAAGAGACCUCAAAAACAAAACAGACUUCCUUUGGAAAAAACAAAGUGGGACCUUCAAUCACUCCCUGAGAGGAGCCUUCCUUUUCAUUCAGAACACUCUUCCUAGUUUAGAGACACACUGGCACGGGUAAAUAGGAAA